UUCCCAGAUCUUCUUGGCUUAGCUGCUGAAGACUGACACUGCCCGAUCGCCCCAGAAGCCCCCUAGACCAUCACGGACGCCGAGCUUCGGGUAACUCUCACAGAGGAAGGUAAGCCCAUUCCCUUCUUAAUCAAUACGGAGGCUACUCAAUCCACAUUACCUUCUUUUCAAGGGCCUGUUUCCCUUGCCUCCAUAACUGGCCUUUUAAAGCCUGUAAACUCUCCUUACAAUUCCCCCAUUUUACCUGUCCUAAAACCAGACAAGCCUUACAAGUUAGUUCAGGAUCUGCGCCUUAUCAACCAAAUUGUUUUGCCUAUCCACCCCGUGGUGCCAAACCCAUAUACUCUCCUAUCCUCAAUACCUCCCUCCACAACCCAUUAUU
rnacentral:lncRNA from 1 species